rnacentral:lncRNA from 1 species
AUCACACGCAGAGUUAGGAGAAGAACCGAGUACCAACAGGGUCCGGGGUUUACCUCCUUAACGAAGAUUCCCUAUCCCGACCGUUCAUCACUGUGUGUGCUCCUAGAGGUGUGAGUAUGGGGUGGUACCUAGCAGAUCGACUAAGGGCAGGAGAGGGUUGGCGGUUUUUGGGAAGAGUAGGGACUCUGAGCUGCAUCAUAGUUUUGGUAACCUUUCUGAUACAUUCAGAUUCAACACCUUCCGGUACUAAUCAUACAAUACCGUUGUUAUUGAGAAGAAGUAGAAGAUAAACUAUAUAAUACACCGAUGAGUGACAUACAGAAUAAGGAAUCAAAGAAGAUCAAGAUGUAGAAUUUAAGAGAUUCAUGAAUGAAAACGGGGAUGCAGUAAAGAGGUUCUCUGACCAAUUAUCCGCCACCUCCCUCAUGACCUGGUAAAAUAGACUGACUCUCGAUAUGUUAUUGGCAGAAGAGGGCGGUGUAGGUAGAAUGAUUAGGUUCAUCGCUGCAUGUGCAUUCCUGAUAACACAUCUCAUGUUUGGGAAAUGGAAAAGUGUUGUAAGAACUGUAUUAUGGGCUGCUUUCACCUGUAUGAGUGUGUUUGUAUUGUGUGGAUGGUGUUUCAUCCCAUGUGUGAGUGGUUUAAUAACCAGGACUCUAGAGAGAUCGAUGACGCAGCAGAUGGUGAGAUAUGGACCAAUUCAGAGCUCCGAUCAGUGGGAUGGCGAAUGCGGGCCUCCAGGCCAGGAAGAUGGCUCCGUUUCUUUUAAUCAUGAGAUGCCAAUGUUUGAUGAAACCAUUUUCAUCGUUUAGAUUGAAUUUUUAACGUUUAGAUUGACUGUUCCUUUAAUGAAAAUUAUGAUGAAAAUCCUAAAUCGAAGUGUCAUAAUUGGAAAUAGGCCCAGGACAGUCAUUGAGGAGUAGGAGAAAUAUUCAUGUAUUGGUCUUGUUUAAACCUUGUAUCACAAUUGUGUUUCCAUAUAGCGUUUGAUUAUGUGUGAUUACAUAUAGCGUGUGAUUAUUUGUGUUUCCAUAUAGCGUGUGAUUAUGUGUGAUUACAUAUAGCAUGUGAUUAGUAGGGUUCUCAUAUAGCAUUUGAUCAUCAUGGUGAAUUAUUUAAUCAUUUAAGGGUGGAAUUGAUAAGAGAAUUAUCUAAUAGAGGUAAAUGAAUCAAUAAACCAUGAUGAAUCAUUAGUCAUACAGCAUGGUUAAUGAAUAAUCAAUGUAAUGAUCAACGUAGUGAUCGAUUGGUCUGAUUAGUUCCAGAAAGUCCAGGAAUCACUGGAGAGGGAAAGAAAUGUGUGUAUGCAAUUAGUAUAGAGAGCAGGGGACAGAUGGUAAAGGGAGUAAAACUUCAAAGGGUUCCUAACCUUGAGGGAAAGGAACAGGCUGAGCUAGAUAGUGAUAAACAGUGUGUGAAGUCAAUGGGGGAUGCAGGUCACCAACAGUUUGUGUGUAAAUGCAUGUGCGUAAGUAAGCAAGAACUAAAAAAUGACUGUUUUGUU